GCCUGGGUGGCUCAGUCAGUUAAGCGUCUGACUUUUGCUCAGGUCAUGAUCUCACGGUCUGUGGGUUCAAGCCCCACACCGAGCU
rnacentral:tRNA from 1 species